rnacentral:rRNA from 1 species
UACGGAGGGCGCAAGCGUUGUUCGGAAUCAUUGGGCGUAAAGCGCGUGUAGGUGGCUUGGCAAGUCGGGUGUGAAAUCCCGGGGCUCAACCCCGGAACUGCAUUCGAUACUGCCUCGCUAGAGUCCCGGAGAGGAGGGCGGAAUUCCCGGUGUAGAGGUGAAAUUCGUAGAUAUCGGGAGGAACACCAGUGGCGAAGGCGGCCCUCUGGACGGUGACUGACACUGAGAUGCGAAAGCGUGGGGAGCAAACAGGAUUAGAUACCCUGGUAGUCCACGCUGUAAACGUUGGGUGCUAGGUGUCGCGGGUAUUGACCCCUGCGGUGCCGACGCUAACGCAUUUAGCACCCCGCCUGGGGAGUACGGUCGCAAGGCUAAA